rnacentral:rRNA from 2 species
UGACGUUAGCGGCGGACGGGUGAGUAACACGUGGAUAACCUACCUAUAAGACUGGGAUAACUUCGGGAAACCGGAGCUAAUACCGGAUAACAUAUUGAACCGCAUGGUUCAAUAGUGAAAGGCGGCUUUGCUGUCACUUAUAGAUGGAUCCGCGCCGUAUUAGCUAGUUGGUAAGGUAACGGCUUACCAAGGCAACGAUACGUAGCCGACCUGAGAGGGUGAUCGGCCACACUGGAACUGAGACACGGUCCAGACUCCUACGGGAGGCAGCAGUAGGGAAUCUUCCGCAAUGGGCGAAAGCCUGACGGAGCAACGCCGCGUGAGUGAUGAAGGUCUUCGGAUCGUAAAACUCUGUUAUCAGGGAAGAACAAAUGUGUAAGUAACUGUGCACAUCUUGACGGUACCUGAUCAGAAAGCCACGGCUAACUACGUGCCAGCAGCCGCGGUAAUACGUAGGUGGCAAGCGUUAUCCGGAAUUAUUGGGCGUAAAGCGCGCGUAGGCGGUUUUUUAAGUCUGAUGUGAAAGCCCACGGCUCAACCGUGGAGGGUCAUUGGAAACUGGAAAACUUGAGUGCAGAAGAGGAAAGUGGAAUUCCAUGUGUAGCGGUGAAAUGCGCAGAGAUAUGGAGGAACACCAGUGGCGAAGGCGACUUUCUGGUCUGUAACUGACGCUGAUGUGCGAAAGCGUGGGGAUCAAACAGGAUUAGAUACCCUGGUAGUCCACGCCGUAAACGAUGAGUGCUAAGUGUUAGGGGUUUCCGCCCCUUAGUGCUGCAGCUAACGCAUUAAGCACUCCGCCUGGG